GUGUAUAUACACGUAUAUGUAUAUAUGUGUAUAUACACACAUAUAUGUAUAUAUGUGUAUAUACACA
rnacentral:pre_miRNA from 13 species